rnacentral:lncRNA from 1 species
CAUUGCUAAACCAUAAGGGACAAAAAACAGUGUUGGCAUAACAUUUUUCAUUAACUACAGUAAAAGCAAAAUGUACAUAUCAGUGUUACACAUCCUCUUCUUGCCUAAGGCUCUGAUUAAGUUCCCCAAACUUCCUUUGCUCUACAGCUUUUAAUGCACCACCACAUAUUUUUCUGCUAUCAUUGAACAUGUCAGAGAAAUAUCUCUGCAGCACACUAAAUCUAGGUUGAGAAUCAUGGAGACAACAAAUUUUUUUCUUACUUGAGAUAUAAAAGCGGCCCUGGUAAGGGAUUUUUUCUAGUUAACUACAUCCGUAUCUGAGAGAUAACAACCUUGGUUUUCUUACAGCCACAAGUACUCAGGUCACCCAAAGUGAUUGGUUGGUAAUGGUCACUGGAGAACUUCUUUUGCAUAAGAAACUAUCCUGAUAUGAAUUGGUACAAGUAGUAUGGCCUCUUCCCAUAUAAAUUCCUUUCAAUUUCUGGUAUAUGCUAUAUGUGCUUAAGGGAAUACAGCAGAGGAAUAUAUAGUCUCUGGGAAUAUACUGAACCACAAUAAGAAAGAAUAGUUCCUUAAUUUUUCACCUCACUGCAUCUCCAAAUCGUACAACACUUCCUUGACAGAAUUCCCUUUCCUUUACAAAAGGCCAUAACAUUUACAGUCCACUAUAACCGCUGGAUUGUGACAUCAGUCUUUCUGAAGGCAGGAAAACAGUACUCCUGACACAGACAUCCAGACUGGUGAGGACUGAACAGUUACUGGUACACCUAUUUGGAUAACAACGACAUUACAGAGCAGCUGCAAAAUCUGUGUUUAUGAAGUUCACAUACAAAUAGCCACCUUGGAGGAAAGAUGGCACACGGAUCUCCUCCUCAGCUGUGUGUUCCCAGAGGUUGCCAGCAGUACUCAGACAGCUGCUGACAGGAUGGCUCAGCCUAAAGAGAACCCUGGACAGCUGCACCCUAACCUAACACCAGUGAGUGCUGAACACAAAAGGUUACAAAGGGAUAGAAGGUGCCAAGAAGUGAAGCAACACUGGAAAAGACAAGAAGAAAUCCAGAGAUGAUAAUGAUGAUCUAGUCUGAUGUACUGCAGGAUCUGAGUGGCGUUAAGUGGGAAAAAAAAAAUCUAUUAAAAGAGGAGUCUUGGGAGACUAAAUGAAUACAGCAUCAUAUAGAAUGUGAUUCAGAGAUAAUCACAACAUGAAGGAAUGGAAAAUGUAAGCAUAUCAUAUGUAUU